rnacentral:lncRNA from 1 species
CUCUCUCUCUCUCCCCUCUCUCCCCAACCAACCCCUACCACCAUUGACAACCACUUACCACCACCACCAUUGAUUCUUCGUCCCCAAAAACAGGGCCGCCGGCUCACCGCCAUCCUUCUUGAACCAAAGAUCUGAACAACGUAAGCCAAUCUGAACUAGAUUCCCUCAGUACAACAUCUAAUGCACAACGUACCACAACAAAAUCACUCAUCACAAAAUUCACAGCUCAUAGCUACCUGUCUUCAUCUCUCAACUUCUUCAUCUGAUUCAUCUCUCAAGUUUUCGAUCCGAUUUAUGAUGUAAUCGACCUGCAUUGUUCUGAUCUGAUUAGUUCAUACACAAUUUCAAUCUGUUACAGUUUGGAAGAAAUUCACCGUAGUUACAACGUUUUCCAGAUCUGAGUUGAGAAAGUUUUGUGAUUCACCGAGGAUCUGAAUCGAUGAAAUAUGGUUGUUUCGAUUUCGAGCAUCAGCGAGGAGCUCGGCAAGAUUGACGGACAGAUUGCUGAUAUUUUUCGAGCACUUUCUGACUAAUUCUGGUUUUGUUAACUUUAAAUUGGGAAAAUGUGACUAAUUCUGGUUC